GAUGAACGCUAGCGGCAGGCUUAAUACAUGCAAGUCGAGGGACAGCACAGGUAGCAAUACUGGGUGGUAACCGGCAAACGGGUGCGGAACACGUACACAACCUUCCUUUAAGUGGGGGAUAGCCCAGAGAAAUUUGGAUUAAUACCCCGUAAUAUAGUUGAAUGGCAUCAUUUGAUUAUUAUAGCUACGGCGCUUAAUGAUGGGUGUGCGGCUGAUUAGAUAGUUGGUGGGGUAACGGCCCACCAAGUCUACGAUCAGUAGCUGAUGUGAGAGCAUGAUCAGCCACACGGGAACUGGGACACGGGCCCGACUCCUACGGGAGGCAGCAGUAAGGAAUAUUGGUCAAUGGACGCAAGUCUGAACCAGCCAUGCCGCGUGAAGGAUUAAGGUCCUCUGGAUUGUAAACUUCUUUUAUUUGGGACGAAAAAGGGCCUUUCUAGGUCAACUGACGGUACCAGAUGAAUAAGCACCGGCUAACUCCGUGCCAGCCGCCGCCGUAAGAC
rnacentral:rRNA from 1 species